rnacentral:rRNA from 1 species
GACGAACGCUGGCGGCGUGCUUAACACAUGCAAGUCGAACGGAAAGGCCCUGCUUUUGUGGGGUGCUCGAGUGGCGAACGGGUGAGUAACACGUGAGUAACCUGCCCUUGACUUUGGGAUAACUUCAGGAAACUGGGGCUAAUACCGGAUAGGAGCUCCUGCUGCAUGGUGGGGGUUGGAAAGUUUCGGCGGUUGGGGAUGGACUCGCGGCUUAUCAGCUUGUUGGUGGGGUAGUGGCUUACCAAGGCUUUGCCGGGUAGCCGGCCUGAGAGGGUGACCGGCCACAUUGGGACUGGGAUCCGGCCCAGACUCCUACGGGGGGCAGCAGUGGGGAAUAUUGCACAAUGGGCGGAAGCCUGAUGCAGCAACGCCGCGUGCGGGAUGACGGCCUUCGGGUUGUAACCCGCUUUCGCCUGUGACGAAGCGUGAGUGACGGUAAUGGGUAAAGAAGCACCGGCUAACUACGUG